rnacentral:rRNA from 1 species
UACAGAGGUCUCAAGCGUUGUUCGGAUUCAUUGGGCGUAAAGAGCUCGUAGGCGGUUUGUCACGUCGGAUGUGAAACCCUGAGGCUCAACCUCAGGCCUGCAUUCGAUACGGGCAGACUAGAAUUCGGCAGGGGAGACUGGAAUUCCUGGUGUAGCGGUGAAAUGCGCAGAUAUCAGGAGGAACACCGGUGGCGAAGGCGGGUCUCUGGGCCGAUAUUGACGCUGGAGGAGCGAAAGCGUGGGGAGCAAACAGG